rnacentral:rRNA from 1 species
AUUGAACGCUGGCGGCAUGCCUUACACAUGCAAGUCGAACGGCAGCACGGGGCAACCUGGUGGCGAGUGGCGAACGGGUGAGUAAUGCAUCGGAACGUACCUUUCAGUGGGGGAUAACGUAGCGAAAGUUACGCUAAUACCGCAUAUUCUGUGAGCAGGUAAGCAGGGGAUCGCAAGACCUUGAGCUGAUUGAGGGGCUGAUGUCAGAGUAGCUAGUUGGUGAGGUAAAGGCUCACCAAGGCGACGAUCUGUAGCGGGUCUGAGAGGAUGAUCCGCCACACUGGAACUGAGACACGGUCCAGACUCCUACGGGAGGCAGCAGUGGGGAAUUUUGGACAAUGGGGGCAACCCUGAUCCAGCCAUGCCGCGUGAGUGAAGAAGGCCUUCGGGUUGUAAAGCUCUUUCGGCCGGGAAGAAAUCGCACGGGCUAAUACCCUGUGUGGAUGACGGUACCGGAAUAAGAAGCACCGGCUAACUACGUGCCAGCCGCCGCGGUAA